rnacentral:rRNA from 1 species
GGUGGAGUGAUUUGUCUGGUUAAUUCCGAUAACGAACGAGACUCUGGCCUACUAACUAGUGGUCUGAUCCUGCGGGGUCUGAUCGACUUCUUAGAGGGACAAGCAAUGUUCAGUUGCAUGAAAAAGAGCAAUAACAGGUCUGUGAUGCCCUUAGAUGUCCGGGGCUGCACGCGCGCUACACUGAAAGAAUCAGCGUGUGGGACUGCCUGGCUUGAGAGAGUCGGGUAAUCCGGUGAAAAUCUUUCGUGAUUGGGAUCGGGACUUGCAAUUAUUUCCCUUGAACGAGGAAUCCCUAGUAAGUGCAGGUCAUCAGCUUGUGCUGAUUACGUCCCUGCCCUUUGUA